rnacentral:rRNA from 1 species
CUCAGAUUGAACGCUGGCGGCAGGCCUAACACAUGCAAGUCGAGCGGUAACAGAAAUUAGCUUGCUAAUUUGCUGACGAGCGGCGGACGGGUGAGUAAUGCCUGGGAAUAUGCCUUAGUGUGGGGGAUAACUAUUGGAAACGAUAGCUAAUACCGCAUAAUGUCUUCGGACCAAAGAGGGGGAUCUUCGGACCUCUCGCGCUAAGAUUAGCCCAGGUGAGAUUAGCUUGUUGGUGAGGUAAGAGCUCACCAAGGCGACGAUCUCUAGCUGGUCUGAGAGGAUGAUCAGCCACACUGGAACUGAGACACGGUCCAGACUCCUACGGGAGGCAGCAGUGGGGAAUAUUGCACAAUGGGCGAAAGCCUGAUGCAGCCAUGCCGCGUGUAUGAAGAAGGCCUUCGGGUUGUAAAGUACUUUCAGUCGUGAGGAAGGGUGUGUAGUUAAUAGCUGCACAUCUUGACGUUAU